rnacentral:rRNA from 1 species
AUGCAGGGAUUUAGGUACAAUGGGGAGAGCCACAACUAUGCUCCACAACAGAUUUAUUCAGCUCCUACUCAUAUACCUCAAGACCAGGAGAUGUUGCCAAUGGAGUUAAAUGGUCCUCCAUUUGGUCAACCAACAACUCCAGCAACCGCCGAGAAAUCUCAUGUGCAAGUGCCCGCACAAGAUGAAUUUGAUGAUAUAGACAAGAUCACAUUGCUUAGUCUCGAGUUCACUUGGAGUGCCGAGGAUGAUCCUAUUAGGAAGGUUAUACUAGAGGAAAUGAAGAAGAUCAAGAGUGGAAAAGAGCUAGUGGAAGAAGUAAGGAAGAUUGAGAAGAACAUCAACGCCGGCAACACUAUUUCUUCACAGCUUGAGCUGAGUGUUUCUGGGAUUCCCCUUGAUACAUGUGAGGUUCCAACACCUUCAUAUCCAGCCAAGGAAGAUAGCUAG